UACGUAGGAGGCGAGCGUUGUCCGGAAUUACUGGGCGUAAAGAGCGCGUAGGCGGGCGCGGUACGACCGCUGUGAAAGCCCCCCAGCUCAACUGGGGAGGGUCAGCGGUAACGGCCGUGCUAUGAGUGCAGGAGAGGGAAGGUGGAACUCCGGGGAGUAGCGGUGAAAUGCGUAGAGACCCGGAGGAACACCAGUGGCGAAGGCGGCUUCCUGGUCUGCGACUGACGCUGUGGCGCGAAAAGCUAGGGGGAGCAAACGGGG
rnacentral:rRNA from 1 species